AAUGGCCUAGUGGUUAGAGUGCCAGCUUCAAAUGCAGGAGGUCAUGGUUUCAAACCCCAGCUAUGUUAUAUA